rnacentral:rRNA from 1 species
GAAACUUAAAGGAAUUGACGGGGCCCGGCACAAGCGGUGGAGUAUGUGGUUAAUUCGAUGCAACGCGAAGAACCUUACCUGGUCUUGACAUCCCGGAGACCCUUAGGAAACUAGGGGUGCUUCCAUCUGGAAGAAUCUGGAGACAGGUGCUGCAUGGCUGUCGUCAGCUCGUGUCGUGAGAUGUUGGGUUAAGUCCCGCAACGAGCGCAACCCUUGCCUUUAGUUGCCAGCAGUUCGGCUGGGCACUCUAAAGGGACUGCCGGUGUUAAACCGGAGGAAGGUGGGGAUGACGUCAAGUCCUCAUGGCCUUUAUGACCAGGGCUACACACGUACUACAAUGGCCGAUACAAAGGGCAGCGACACUGCGAGGUGAAGCCAAUCCCGUAAAAUCGGUCUCAGUCCGGAUUGGAGUCUGCAACUCGACUCCAUGAAGUUGGAAUCGCUAGUAAUCGUGGAUCAGCAUGCCACGGUGAAUACGUUCCCGGGCCUU